CAGAGGCAAAGAAUACACCAGAUGACCUUGCUCAAGGUUUGACGACCAAUUGAAGGCUGAGUAUAGGUUGAUGGUCUUGUUCCUUUCAAAAGAGCUAGCCAUUUCCAGCAGCUUGUGACUGAAGCAAAGAGAUGGAAAACAGAAUGAACCAGCUGCUUAUGCUGGAACCUUGAAGAGUGACACAUCAAUUAUGAAAUUCUUUUCCCUUUUCUUGGCUCAGCUUGUAAUUCCCUGUUGUUUGGCCAAAAGUGUUGCUGACAGCUAUGUAGGACGAUGUAAAUCUCCAGGUGAACUUCCAGCCCCACAGUUUUUCCUGAA